rnacentral:misc_RNA from 1 species
GAUGAAGAACGCAGCGAAAUGCGAUAAGUAAUGUGAAUUGCAGAAUUCAGUGAAUCAUCGAAUCUUUGAACGCACAUUGCGCCCGCCAGUAUUCUGGCGGACAUGCCUGUUCGAGCGUCGUUACAACCCUCAGGCCCCCGGGCCUGGCGUUGGGGAUCGGCGGAAGCCCCCUGCGGGCACAACGCCGUCCCCCAAAUACAGUGGCGGUCCCGCCGCAGCUUCCAUUGCGUAGUAGCUAACACCUCGCAACUGGAGAGCGGCGCGGCCACGCCGUAAAACACCCAACUUCUGAAUGUUGACCUCGAAUCAGGUAGGAAUACCCGCUGAACUUAAGCAUAUCAAUAAGCGGAGGA